AGUGAACGCUGGCGGCGUGCUUAACACAUGAAAGUCGAACGAGAACGGAUUAUAGCUUGCUAUAAUUGUCAGCUAAGUGGCGCACGGGUGAGUAAUGUAUAGGUAAUAUGCCUCUUACUAAGGGAUAACAAAUGGAAACGUUUGCUAAUACCUUAUACUCCUUAUUAACAUAAGUUAACAAGGGAAAGAUUUAUUGGUAAGAGAUUAGCCUGUAUUGUAUCAGUUAGUUGGUGGGGUAAUGGCUUACCAAGACUAUGACACAUAACUGGUUUGAGAGGAUGAUCAGUCACACUGGAACUGAGACACGGUCCAGACUCCUACGGGAGGCAGCAGUGGGGAAUAUUGCACAAUGGACGAAAGUCUGAUGCAGCAACGCCGCGUGGAGGAUGACACAUUUCGGUGCGUAAACUCCUUUUAUAUGAGAAGAUAAUGACGGUAUUAUAUGAAUAAGCACCGGCUAACUCCGUGCCAGCAGCCGCGGUAA
rnacentral:rRNA from 1 species